UACGAAGGGGGCUAGCGUUGCUCGGAAUCACUGGGCGUAAAGCGCACGUAGGCGGCUUUCUAAGUCAGGGGUGAAAUCCCGGAGCUCAACUCCGGAACUGCCUUUGAUACUGGAAAGCUUGAGUUCGGGAGGAGGUGAGUGGAACUGCGAGUGUAGAGGUGAAAUUCGUAGAAUAUUCGCAAGAACACCAGUGGCGAAGGCGGCUCAGCUG
rnacentral:rRNA from 1 species